rnacentral:rRNA from 1 species
AGCUACAGGCUUAACACAUGCAAGUCGAGGGGCAGCAUGGUCUUAGCUUGCUAAGGCCGAUGGCGACCGGCGCACGGGUGAGUAACACGUAUCCAACCUGCCGUCUACUCUUGGACAGCCUUCUGAAAGGAAGAUUAAUACAAGAUGGCAUCAUGAGUCCGCAUGUUCACAUGAUUAAAGGUAUUCCGGUAGACGAUGGGGAUGCGUUCCAUUAGAUAGUAGGCGGGGUAACGGCCCACCUAGUCUUCGAUGGAUAGGGGUUCUGAGAGGAAGGUCCCCCACAUUGGAACUGAGACACGGUCCAAACUCCUACGGGAGGCAGCAGUGAGGAAUAUUGGUCAAUGGGCGAGAGCCUGAACCAGCCAAGUAGCGUGAAGGAUGACUGCCCUAUGGGUUGUAAACUUCUUUUAUAAAGGAAUAAAGUCGGGUAUGGAUACCCGUUUGCAUGUACUUUAUGAAUAAGGAUCGGCUAACUCCGUGCCAGCAGCCGCGGUAAUACGGAGGAUCCGAGCGUUAUCCGGAUUUAUUGGGUUUAAAGGGAGCGUAGAUGGAUGUUUAAGUCAGUUGUGAAAGUUUGCGGCUCAACCGUAAAAUUGCAGUUGAUACUGGAUAUCUUGAGUGCAGUUGAGGCAGGCGGAAUUCGUGGUGUAGCGGUGAAAUGCUUAGAUAUCACGAAGAACUCCGAUUGCGAAGGCAGCCUGCUAAGCUGCAACUGACAUUGAGGCUCGAAAGUGUGGGUAUCAAACAGGAUUAGAUACCCUGGUAGUCCACACGGUAAACGAUGAAUACUCGCUGUUUGCGAUAUACAGCAAGCGGCCAAGCGAAAGCGUUAAGUAUUCCACCUGGGGAGUACGCCGGCAACGGUGAAACUCAAAGGAAUUGACGGGGGCCCGCACAAGCGGAGGAACAUGUGGUUUAAUUCGAUGAUACGCGAGGAACCUUACCCGGGCUUAAAUUGCAGAUGAAUUACGGUGAAAGCCGUAAGCCGCAAGGCAUCUGUGAAGGUGCUGCAUGGUUGUCGUCAGCUCGUGCCGUGAGGUGUCGGCUUAAGUGCCAUAACGAGCGCAACCCUUGUUGUCAGUUACUAACAGGUUCCGCUGAGGACUCUGACAAGACUGCCAUCGUAAGAUGUGAGGAAGGUGGGGAUGACGUCAAAUCAGCACGGCCCUUACGUCCGGGGCUACACACGUGUUACAAUGGGGGGUACAGAGGGCCGCUACCACGCGAGUGGAUGCCAAUCCCCAAAACCUCUCUCAGUUCGGACUGGAGUCUGCAACCCGACUCCACGAAGCUGGAUUCGCUAGUAAUCGCGCAUCAGCCACGGCGCGGUGAAUACGUUCCCGGGCCUUGUACACACCGCCCGUCAAGCCAUGGGAGCCGGGGGUACCUGAAGUGCGUAACCGCGAGGAGCGCCCUAGGGUAAAACUGGUGACUGGG